rnacentral:rRNA from 1 species
CACGUAGGGCGCAAGCGUUGUCCGGAAUUAUUGGGCGUAAAGAGCUCGUAGGUGGUUUGUUACGUCCGCUGUGAAAUCCUAGGGCUUAACCCUGGGCUUGCAGUGGAUACGGGCAGACUAGAGGUAUGCAGGGGAGAAUGGAAUUCCUGGUGUAGCGGUGAAAUGCGCAGAUAUCAGGAGGAACACCGGUGGCGAAGGCGGUUCUCUGGGCAUUACCUGACGCUGAGGAGCGAAAGUGUGGGGAGCGAACAGG